AUCACUUUUACUACCAGUCCAAACUUAUAUAUUUGCAGAUUUUUUGAAUCGGAAGCAGAAGAAGUUCUUUCCCAUUCUACUUCUUUCCUCUAUGGGUUUUUCUUUCAAGCGACACUGCUAGUGGACCAACUCACUGCAAUGAACUUGACCAACGUAGUUCAGAACCAUGCAUUCUCUGAUCAAGUCUUAAUCCGGUCCAUCAUGGGCUAAUUCGAUGGAGGGCCUGGCUUUGCGGGGCAACAAGUUCAGGCUGGUGGUUAGGUAAAGACCGGGAGAAAGCAAGGAAAAGGAAUUUUUCACAUUUUUAGAGCUGAACAACGAGUCAUGUCCAUCAAACUUGCAAGUUAUUGUGGAUGCUGGUGUGGUUAUUUUGAGCAAGCUAGUGGCGACUGGCACGUGCGUCGUGGUUGAUGGAAUAUUGAAGUUGUCGCUUAAAGGAAAAGCACAAAGAAUCAUCGUAUUUACCCUCUUUCAAAACUGAAGAUUUAAUGCCAUAAUGGAUGACUUUGCUGAACCUGGAUCACUUGCUCCAACUGGAUGCAGAGAUACAAUGAUCUAUUUCAACGGGCAAUGAAGUUGAAUGAGAAGGGUUCAUUGUCUCAAGUGAGCUACUAUAUUGCAUUCCGAAGCCUGGAAUAAACUUUUGGGAACUGUUUGAGUGCAAAUACUUUUAACAAGAGCCUUGCUAAAGCUGCCACAUCUCCCACCCAGGGUAUGAUCUGUAUUGAAAAAGACAAUGAAAGCUGAAGCACAAACAAAGCAAAUAAGAAAAGAACCCAACCAAAAAAAGAAAGGACACUCAAAGCAGGAGGUAAUGACUGUUGCAGCAACAGAUGGCUUACAACAAAUGGAGAAAUUAAGCUCAAGAUCAAUAGCCUUGGAUGGUUAUUUUGGCACACAACCUAGCGUUCAAGGAAUGGGUUUGCAUUCAUAGGGACAAUUAAACACCAUAGCAACGAGCCAUGAAGGUUACUAUGGCACUCAGUAAACCAUGCCUGGGAUGGUUGCAGGGGAAAUACCUUACAAUGGUUAUGGACUAGACAAGUUUAAUCCUCACAAAACCUCAGCUUACAUGAGCCAAUAUGAUCUGUAUACUCUAGAGAUGACAGUGAGGGAAACACUUGAUUUUUCUGCACGCUUUCAGGGUGUAGGAAGCAAAGCUGAUCUCCAUUGAAGAUGUAAUGUGGGCAAUUCAUCUAAAGUCAUUUGACUAUCAGGUGCUGAAUCUUCUUCUAUUUCACUUAAGAGGAUAAAAGGUUUCAUUUGUAAGGUGAAGAUUGGGUUUCGAGAAUGGGAAUGAACUGCCUCUUUCAUUUAAUGAUGCUCUUCAUGGUUAAAACCCCAAAUUAUGGAAUAUAGAAAUUCACAAAAUGAAUGAAGGUGAUAACCAAGAUUUCCGAUUUGUUCCCUCCUCCAAGUAAGUUGUAGGUUAUAAUAUUUUCAUAGUUAAAACAAGAACGCAGCAUUGUGCGGACAUGUUGACUAGUUCCUAAGGGAAUCACUUUUUUUUUUUUUCUAA